rnacentral:tRNA from 1 species
GCCCUUAUAGUCUAGUGGUAUGACACUUCAGUCCUAUAAACGUCAAUGUCCUGUACCUCUGACUGAGGAGCGUGGGUUCAAAUCCCACUAAGGGUA